UAAGGAAUAUUGGUCAAUGGACGCAAGUCUGAACCAGCCAUGCCGCGUGGAGGAUGAAGGUCCUCUGGAUUGUAAACUUCUUUUAUCUGGGAAGAAAUGCCGAUUUUCUAAUUGGUUUGACGGUACCAGAUGAAUAAGCACCGGCUAACUCCGUGCCAGCAGCCGCGGUAAUACGGAGGGUGCAAGCGUUAUCCGGAUUCACUGGGUUUAAAGGGUGCGUAGGCGGAAUUGUAAGUCCGUGGUGAAAUCUCCGAGCUUAACUCGGAAACUGCCGUGGAUACUAUAGUUCUUGAAUGUUGUGGAGGUUUGCGGAAUAUGUCAUGUAGCGGUGAAAUGCUUAGAUAUGACAUAGAACACCGAUUGCGAAGGCAGCAGGCUACACAAAUAUUGACGCUGAGGCACGAAAGCGUGGGGAUCAAACAGG
rnacentral:rRNA from 1 species